rnacentral:rRNA from 1 species
AGUGAACGCUGGCGAUAGGCCUAACACAUGCAAGUCGAACGGCAGCACAGUAAGAGCUUGCUCUUACGGGUGGCGAGUGGCGGGCGGGUGAGGAAUACAUCGGAAUCUACUUUUUCGUGGGGGAUAACGUAGGGAAACUUACGCUAAUACCGCAUACGACCUACGGGUGAAAUCAGGGGAUCUUCGGACCUUGCGCGAUUGAAUGAGCCGAUGUCGGAUUAGCUAGUUGGCGGGGUAAAGGCCCACCAAGGCGACGAUCCGUAGCUGGUCUGAGAGGAUGAUCAGCCACACUGGAACUGAGACACGGUCCAGACUCCUACGGGAGGCAGCAGUGGGGAAUAUUGGACAAUGGGCGCAAGCCUGAUCCAGCCAUACCGCGUGGGUGAAGAAGGCCUUCGGGUUGUAAAGCCCUUUUGUUGGGAAAGAAAAGCAGCAGGUUAAUACCCCGCUGUUCUGACGGUACCCAAAGAAUAAGCACCGGCUAACUUCGUG